rnacentral:rRNA from 1 species
CCUACGGGGGGCAGCAGUGAGGAAUAUUGGUCAAUGGCCGAGAGGCUGAACCAGCCAAGUCGCGUGAGGGAAGAAUGUCCUACGGAUUGUACACCUCUUUUGUCAGGGAGUAAAGUCACGCACGUGUGGGUGUUGGAGAGUACCUGAAGAAAAAGCAUCGGCUAACUCCGUGCCAGCAGCCGCGGUAAUACGGAGGAUGCGAGCGUUAUCCGUAUUCAUUGGGCUUAAGGGGAGCGUAGGCGGGCGUUCAAGUCAGCUGUAAAAUCGCGCGGCUAAACCGCGCACAGCAGUUGAAACUGGACGCCUUGAGUUCACAACAGGCAGGCGGAAUUCGUGGUGUAGCGGUGAAAUGCAUAGAUAUCACGAGGAACCCCGAUUGCGAAGGCAGCCUGCCGGGGUGCGACUGACGCUGAGGCUCGAAGGUGCGGGUAUCAAACAGGAUUAGAUACCCGUGUAGUC